rnacentral:rRNA from 1 species
AGUGAACGCUGGCGGUAGGCCUAACACAUGCAAGUCGAACGGCAGCACAGUAAGAGCUUGCUCUUACGGGUGGCGAGUGGCGGACGGGUGAGGAAUACAUCGGAAUCUACUUUUUCGUGGGGGAUAACGUAGGGAAACUUACGCUAAUACCGCAUACGACCUACGGGUGAAAGCAGGGGAUCUUCGGACCUUGCGCGAUUGAAUGAGCCGAUGUCGGAUUAGCUAGUUGGCGGGGUAAAGGCCCACCAAGGCGACGAUCCGUAGCUGGUCUGAGAGGAUGAUCAGCCACACUGGAACUGAGACACGUGCCAGACUCCUACGGGAGGCAGCAGGGGGGAAUAUUGGACAGUGGGCGCAAGCCUGAUCCAGCCAUACCGCGUGGGUGAAGAAGGCCUUCGGGUUGUAAAGCCCUUUGUUGGGAAAGAAAAGCAGCAGGUUAAUACCCCGCUGUUCUGACGGUACCCAAAGAAUAAGCACCGGCUAACUUCGUG